GCCUCUACAGGUGUUGCAUUGGCUGUCGUCAGCUCGUGUCGUGAGAUGUUCGGUUAAGUCCGCUAACGAGCGCAACCCUCGCUGUGUGUUACAAGUGUCACACGGUACUGCCGAUAUUAAGUCGGAGGAAGGUGGGGAUGACGUCAAGUCAGCAUGACCUUUAUAUCCAGGGCUACACACACGCUACAAUGGCCAGUACAAUGGGUUGCCAAGCCGCGAGGCGGAGCCAAUCCUAAAAAGCUGGCCUCAGUUCAGAUUGCAGUCUGCAGCUCGACUGCAUGAAGUUGGAGUUGCUAGUAACCGCAGGUCAGCAAUACUGCGGUGAAUACGUUCCCGGGGAUU
rnacentral:rRNA from 1 species